UAACACAGAAAGGAAAACCAACAGCAUGGGCCUCUUGGCUUGGAGGAAGCCAAAGUGCACAUUUCUUCAGUCAUACUACAUCUGGGUUCAUCUAGCCACCUCUGCCAUGCUGCCCAAGUUCAACCCCAAUGAGAUCAGUCAUAUACCUGCCAGGUGCCCUGGUGGAAAACUGGGUACCAUGUCUGCCCUAGCCCUUAAGAUCAACCCUCUGGACCUGUCUCCAAAAUAAGUUGGUGAUGACAUUCCCAAGGCCACAGGUCACCAGAAGAGUCAAAGGAUUACAAUGAAACUGACCAUUCAGAACAGACAGGCUCAGACUGAGGUGGUACUUUCUGCCUCUGCCGUGAGCAUCAAAGCCCUCAAGGAACCAGAGACAGAAAGAAGCAAAACAAUCAAGCACAGUGGAAAUGCCAUUUUUCAUGACACUGUCAAGAUUGCAUGACAGAUGCAGCACCAAUCCUUAGUCACAGAACUCUCUGGGACCCGUAAAGAGAUCUUGGAGACUGCCCAGUCUGUGAGCUCCAAUGUUGAUGGGCGCCAGCCUCCUGACAUCAUAGAUGACAUCAAAUCAACAGUGGUGCAAGUAAAUAUCCAGCUAGCUAUGAACUACGAAGGAAAAAAUUUCAAUAAAGGAUCAUUUGACAACUAAAAAUAAAAACACAGCAUGGUUAUGA
ensembl:lncRNA novel transcript